GCCUGGUUGGCUCAGUCUGUUGAGCAUCUGACUUUGGCUCAGGUCAUGAUCUCAUGGUUUGUGGGUUCGAACCCCGCAUAGGGCU
rnacentral:tRNA from 1 species